UUGGCCUACGGGGGGCAGCAGUAGGGAAUAUUGCGCAAUGGGCGAAAGCCUGACGCAGCAACGCCGCGUGGGGGAUGACGGCCUUCGGGUUGUAAACCCCUUUCAGGAGGGAAGAAACUGACGGUACCUCCAGAAGAAGCCCCGGCCAACUACGUGCCAGCAGCCGCGGUAAUACGUAGGGGGCAAGCGUUGUCCGGAAUUAUUGGGCGUAAAGGGCUCGUAGGCGGCUCAGAAAGUCGGUGGUGAAAUCCCUGGGCUCAACCCCGGAACUGCCGUCGAUACUUCUGUGGCUAGAGUCUGGUAGAGGAGAAUGGAAUUCCCGGUGUAGCGGUGGAAUGCGCAGAUAUCGGGAGGAACACCAGUAGCGAAGGCGGUUCUCUGGGCCAGUACUGACGCUGAGGAGCGAAAGCGUGGGGAGCAAACAGGAUUAGAUACCCUGGUAGUCCACGCUGUAAACGUUGGGUACUAGGUGUGGCGAUCCGAUCAACGAUUGCCGUGCCGAAGCUAACGCAUUAAGUACCCCGCCUGGGGAGUACGGCCGCAAGG
rnacentral:rRNA from 1 species